rnacentral:rRNA from 1 species
GACGAACGCUGGCGGCGUGCCUAAUACAUGCAAGUCGAGCGGAACUGGGGGAGCUUGCUCCUUCCAGUUUAGCGGCGGACGGGUGAGUAACACGUGGGCAACCUGCCCUGCAGAUCGGGAUAACUCCGGGAAACCAGUGCUAAUACCGAAUAGUUUGGCGCCUCUCCUGAGGCGCUACGGAAAGACGGUUUCGGCUGUCACUGCACGAUGGGCCCGCGGCGCAUUAGCUAGUUGGUGGGGUAACGGCCCACCAAGGCGACGAUGCGUAGCCGACCUGAGAGGGUGACCGGCCACACUGGGACUGAGACACGGCCCAGACUCCUACGGGAGGCAGCAGUAGGGAAUCUUCCGCAAUGGACGCAAGUCUGACGGAGCAACGCCGCGUGAGUGACGAAGGUUUUCGGAUCGUAAAACUCUGUUGUGAGGGAAGAACACGUACCAACUAACUAUUGGUACCUUGACGGUACCUCACCAGAAAGCCACGGCUAACUACGUGCCAGCCGCCGCGGUAA